rnacentral:rRNA from 1 species
UAGGGAAUCUUCCACAAUGGGCGAAAGCCUGAGGGAGCAACGCCGCGUGAGCGAAGAAGGUCUUCGGAUCGUAAAGCUCUGUUGUGAGGGAAGAACAAGCGCAGCAGUAACUGGCUGCGCCCUGACGGUACCUUACUAGAAAGCCCCGGCUAACUACGUG